rnacentral:rRNA from 1 species
GACGAACCGUGCGAACGUUAUUCGGAAUCACUGGGCUUAAAGGGCGCGUAGGCGGGCGGCCAAGUCAGGGGUGAAAGCCCCCAGCUCAACUGGGGAAGUGCCUUUGAUACUGGUCGUCUCGAGGGAGGUAGGGGCGUGCGGAACUUCCGGUGGAGCGGUGAAAUGCGUAGAUAUCGGAAGGAACGCCGGUGGCGAAAGCGGCGCGCUGGACCUCUUCUGACGCUGAGGCGCGAAAGCUAGGGGAGCAAACGGG